GACGAACGCGGCGGCGUGCCUAAUACAUGCAAGUAGAACGCUGAAGGAGGAGCUUGCUCUUCUGGAUGAGUUGCGAACGGGUGAGUAACGCGUAGGUAACCUGCCUGGUAGCGGGGGAUAACUAUUGGAAACGAUAGCUAAUACCGCAUAAGAGUAGAUGUUGCAUGACAUUUGCUUAAAAGGUGCAAUUGCAUCACUACCAGAUGGACCUGCGUUGUAUUAGCUAGUUGGUGAGGUAACGGCUCACCAAGGCGACGAUACAUAGCCGACCUGAGAGGGUGAUCGGCCACACUGGGACUGAGACACGGCCCAGACUCCUACGGGAGGCAGCAGUAGGGAAUCUUCGGCAAUGGACGGAAGUCUGACCGAGCAACGCCGCGUGAGUGAAGAAGGUUUUCGGAUCGUAAAGCUCUGUUGUAAAGAGAAAGAAACGAAGUGUGAGAAGUGGAAAAGUUCCACCAC
rnacentral:rRNA from 1 species